rnacentral:misc_RNA from 1 species
GAUUGCGCGGGUGAGCGUUAACAAUAAAAUUUUUAAAUGUAUGUAACUCCGAAACAACUGAACCAAUUUUUAUCAAAUUUUUUAAGCAUCUGUAAUUUGGUCCAACUUGGGAGAUAGGGUAGUUUUUAUUUCAAUUGGACCCGAUAGGUGGCGCUGCUAUCGGUAUGUAAGCUAUCAAAUUUGGUAGCUGUUUUCCGGCCAGGACAAC